CUGGCUGGGUGAAGGCCUGCACAGUGGUCUACCAGUAUUUGUACAUUUAUGCGAAAAGCGGCCGGGAACAGACAGGCGUGUGGGCGGUUGUGAGUAAUCCUGUUUACUCCGGGUUUCCAUGCACAAGCCGUGUGCCUUGUCUGACUCCGGCUCAGGAAGCACAGUAACGGUGGAGGGAAAAUGUCAACUACUGUUGGUCCGACCAAUUCCCCCUCAUCCAGGUGGGCUGUCUGGGAGGCCAUUAGAGGAGUGAUCAAGUGGAGCUUUGUGUCAGAGCGGCCUGACAGCCUGUUAAGAGUGGCUGGCUGUGGGAGACAACUCGGGCUCGAUGGAUGUUUGUAGGGGACUGGGAUAGUUUUUGGAUCACCAGGUGU